UACGAAGGAUGCAAGCGUUACUCGGAAUUACUGGGCGUAAAGCGUGCGUAGGUGGUUUGUUAAGUCUGUUGUGAAAGCCCCGGGCUCAACCUGGGAAUGGCAAUGGAUACUGGCAAGCUAGAGUGCGGUAGAGGGUAGUGGAAUUCCCGGUGUAGCGGUGAAAUGCGUAGAGAUCGGGUGGAACACCAGGGGCGAAGGCAGCUCCCUGGAUUAGCACUGACGCUCAUGCACGAAAGCGUGGGGAGCAAACAGG
rnacentral:rRNA from 1 species